UACGGAGGAUGCAAGCGUUAUCCGGAAUGAUUGGGCGUAAAGCGUCCGCAGGUGGCAAUGUAGGUCUGCUGUUAAAGAGUCUAGCUCAACUAGAUAAAAGCAGUGGAAACUACAUAGCUAGAGUACGUUCGGGGCAGAGGGAAUUCCUGGUGUAGCGGUGAAAUGCGUAGAGAUCAGGAAGAACACCGGUGGCGAAGGCGCUCUGCUAGGCCGUAACUGACACUGAGGGACGAAAGCUAGGGGAGCGAAUGGG
rnacentral:rRNA from 1 species